UACGUAGGGUGCGAGCGUUAAUCGGAAUACUGGGCGUAAAGCGUGCGCAGGCGGCUAUGCAAGACAGAUGUGAAAUCCCCGGGCUCAACCUGGGAACUGCAUUUGUGACUGCAUGGCUAGAGUACGGUAGAGGGGGAUGGAAUUCCGCGUGUAGCAGUGAAAUGCGUAGAUAUGCGGAGGAACACCGAUGGCGAAGGCAAUCCCCUGGACCUGUACUGACGCUCAUGCACGAAAGCGUGGGGAGCAAACAGG
rnacentral:rRNA from 1 species